UACGUAGGGGGCGGGCGUAUCCGGAAUUACUGGGCGUAAAGCGCACGCAGGCGGUUCGCCAAGUUUGGAGUGACAGUUGUCGGCUCAACCGACAAAGGACUUCAAAAACUGGUGAACUUGAGGACGAGAGAGGAACAUGGAACUCCAGGUGUAGUAGUGAAAUGCGUAGAUAUCUGGAAGAACACCAAUGGCGAAGGCAAUGUUCUGGCUCGUUUCUGACGCUCAGGUGCGAAAGCCAGGGAGCGAACGGG
rnacentral:rRNA from 1 species